CUCCAGUUUUUCUACCAGCCAACACAUCCAUCAAGGUGGUCUUACCGGCCCCACUGACACCCAUGAGAGCUGUAAGGACUCCUGGUCUAAAAGCACCGCUUACUCCUUUCAGAAGUUCUAACUGGUCCUCAGUAGGGUGACCCUUAGCUUUGUCAAAUGGAACAGCAAGUUUGUCACCCAGUUUCCGGCCAGCAUGGAAUGACUGAAAUGCUUCUGCAAAUUCCUUCACAUGAACGUAACUAAUACGAAAACGUUGUGUUUGGCUGCAACUCUUAAAAUGAUAGUGCUAGUGGUGGAAGUGGUCUGAGUGUUGGUGCUGGUUGUGGUCAUGUAGUGCUGGCGGCAGCAGUGGGGGUACUUGGUGGUGGUCUUGACAAAACUCUGUCCUGUCUAACUAGGUCUAGAAAAUGACACUUGAAAAAAUGGACAAAGACAAAGGGAAAUCUCAAAGCUAGUGAUCACUUCUUGUAAGAAGUCGGCAACUCCUUUCCUCUCAGGGCACUUGAAUCCCAUGUGUUCAAAGAAUUCAAGCACGCAUUCAC